AUGUACUUGCUUUGGCAUACUAACUAAAAUUGGAACAAUACAAAAAAAAUUUUAGCUCCCCCCUGCGAAGGAUGACCCCAAAAAACGUGAAGCUUUCCCCUUUUUU